rnacentral:rRNA from 1 species
CAGCCGCCGCGGUAAUACGUAGGGGGCGAGCGUUGUCCGGAAUUAUUGGGCGUAAAGCGCGCGCAGGCGGUCCUUUAAGUCUGAUGUGAAAGCCCACGGCUCAACCGUGGAGGGCCAUUGGAAACUGGGGGACUUGAGUGCAGGAGAGGAGAGCGGAAUUCCACGUGUAGCGGUGAAAUGCGUAGAGAUGUGGAGGAACACCAGUGGCGAAGGCGGCUCUCUGGCCUGUAACUGACGCUGAGGCGCGAAAGCGUGGGGAGCAAACAGGAUUAGAUACCCUGGUAGUCCACGCCGUAAACGAUGAGUGCUAAGUGUUAGAGGGGUCACACCCUUUAGUGCUGCAGCUAACGCGAUAAGCACUCCGCCUGGGGAGUACGGCCGCAAGGCUGAAACUUAAAGGAAUUGGCGGG